UAGGGAAUCUUCCGCAAUGGGCGAAAGCCUGACGGAGCAACGCCGCGUGAGUGAUGAAGGUCUUCGGAUCGUAAAACUCUGUUAUUAGGGAAGAACAAAUGUGUAAGUAACUAUGCACGUCUUGACGGUACCUAAUCAGAAAGCCACGGCUAACUACGUGCCAGCAGCCGCGGUAAUACGUAGGUGGCAAGCGUUAUCCGGAAUUAUUGGGCGUAAAGCGCGCGUAGGCGGUUUUUUAAGUCUGAUGUGAAAGCCCACGGCUCAACCGUGGAGGGUCAUUGGAAGCUGGAACACUUGAGUGCAGAAGAGGAAAGUGGAAUUCCAUGUGUAGCGGUGAAAUGCGCAGAGAUAUGGAGGAACACCAGUGGCGAAGGCGACUUUCUGGUCUGUAACUGACGCUGAUGUGCGAAAGCGUGGGGAUCAAACAGG
rnacentral:rRNA from 1 species